UUUAAAUUAGAAAGAUCAUAUCAUAGGGCACAUGUAUACUAAGUUUCAAGUUGAUUGGACUUCAACUUCAUCAAAAACUACCUUGACCAAAACUUUAACCUGAAAUUUGCACUAUCAUUUUCUAUGUUCAGUGAACCGUAAAAUUGGGGUCAAAACUCUAAUUUGGCAUUAAAAUUAGAAAGAUCAUAUCAUAGGGAACAUGUGUACCAAGUUUGAAGUCGAUUGGACUUCAACUUCAUCAAAAACUACCU
rnacentral:lncRNA from 1 species